rnacentral:rRNA from 1 species
UACGGAGGGUGCGAGCGUUGUUCGGAAUUACUGGGCGUAAAGAGCUCGUAGGCGGGUCUGUAAGUUAGCUGUGAAAUCCCCGGGCUUAACCUGGGAAUGGCAGUUAAAACUGCAAACCUUGAAUGCAUGAGAGGAUAGUGGAAUUCCCGGUGUAGAAGUGAAAUUCGUAGAUAUCGGGAGGAACACCAGAGGCGAAGGCGGCUAUCUGGCGCUGCAUUGACGCUGAGGAGCGAAAGCGUGGGGAGCAAACAGG